GCAGCCCCUCCACUUGCUCCAGUUGCCCCCACUGCUCCAACUUCUUCAAGUUCUGUUCCUGGAUCGAGUGCUAGUCGAUCUGCAUCCUCAUCCUCAUCACAUGCUACUAGGACCUACUGUUAUGUGCAUGCAAGCGGAAAGUAAGUAUAAUGUAUAACAUUACUUAUCAUUGUAUUACAUAUCUUUGUUAUUAGUUUUUAUUUUGGUUAAUUAUUUAAAAAUAAUUAUAUUGAAUAUUUAUAAAUUAUGCUCGCAUUGUUAAACUAUUACAGUCUUAUGCCUUCUGAGAAGACAUCUGGUGCCUGCAUAAAGAUUUUUCAAAAGUACAAUAUCGAGGAGGGUUCUUCCUGGAAGAAUAUCCCACAAUCCACAAAAGAUUUUUAUUUCAGAGAGUUUGAGGUACGCAAUAUAUUAUGCAUUCUAACAAAGAUAAAAUGUCUUAUAAUCUAUGUUGUAUUGUACAUGUGUUUUUUAAAUUAAUUUACAGAAAGAAUUUCACUAGGAUGAGGGAAGUGCUGCAAUAGUGAGGAAGGCAUGGAAUAAAAAAG
rnacentral:lncRNA from 1 species